GUGGGGAAUAUUGGACAAUGGGCGCAAGCCUGAUCCAGCCAUGCCGCGUGAGUGAUGAAGGCCUUAGGGUUGUAAAGCUCUUUCAGUGGGGACGAUAAUGACGGUACCCACAGAAGAAGCCCCGGCUAACUUCGUGCCAGCAGCCGCGGUAAUACGAAGGGGGCUAGCGUUGUUCGGAUUUACUGGGCGUAAAGCGCACGUAGGCGGAUCGUUAAGUCGGGGGUGAAAUCCUGGAGCUCAACUCCAGAACUGCCUUCGAUACUGGUGAUCUUGAGUCCGGAAGAGGUGAGUGGAACUCCUAGUGUAGGGGUGGAAUUCGUAGAUAAUAGGAAGAACACCAGUGGCGAAGGCGGCUCACUGGUCCGGUACUGACGCUGAGGUGCGAAAGCGUGGGGAGCAAACAGGAUUAGAAACCCCUGUAGUCC
rnacentral:rRNA from 1 species